UACGUAGGGGGCUAGCGUUGUCCGGAAUCAUUGGGCGUAAAGCGCGUGUAGGCGGCUCGAUAAGUCCGCUCUGAAAGCCCGGGGCUCAACCCCGGGAGGCGGGUGGAUACUGUCGAGCUCGAGUCCGGAAGAGGCAAGUGGAAUUCCCGGUGUAGCGGUGAAAUGCGCAGAUAUCAGGAAGAACACCUAUGGCGAAAGCAGCUCUCUGGGACGGUACUGACGCUGAGACGCGAAAGCGUGGGGAGCGAACAGG
rnacentral:rRNA from 1 species